rnacentral:lncRNA from 1 species
UUUUAUGACCAGUACUGAGUUGUCAGAUAAAGGGUAUUUCUUAAAUGUCAUAAAAAGGGUACUUAAUCCCCAUGAUGAAGUUUCUAUUCGUUGAACAAUAAUGGGUAUAUAAUACGCCAGGACAGUUUGAAGAAAAUCACCGUCAUUUUGCAGUGGCUUUUGUGGUGCCGCGUCAUUUGUUUUUGCUGCCGGAACUAUUUGUUGUGGUGUGAAAAUGCUGCUCGAUACGCUACUAGCGAUCAUAUUUACGAAAUACUUGUCAAGAAGGCGGCUAUGGAUGGGGCAAUCUCCGGAGCCGUUGUCCAAUGUCAGUCAGUUGGAGCAUCCACGAUCGGAUCUUACAAAUUUUAAAAUGAAAUUUAUUUGUGAUGAUGUAAACAUUAGCUUGUGAAAUAAUAAAUAUGUAAUGUUUUAUGUUUA